rnacentral:rRNA from 1 species
GACGAACGCUGGCGGCGUGCCUAAUACAUGCAAGUCGAACGAGAGCGACCGGUGCUUGCACUGGUCAAUCUAGUGGCGAACGGGUGAGUAACACGUGGGUAACCUGCCCAUCAGAGGGGGAUAACAUCCGGAAACGGAUGCUAAAACCGCAUAGGUCUUCGAGCCGCAUGGCUUGAAGAGGAAAAGAGGCGCAAGCUUCUGCUGAUGGAUGGACCCGCGGUGCAUUAGCUAGUUGGUGAGGUAACGGCUCACCAAGGCCGUGAUGCAUAGCCGACCUGAGAGGGUGAUCGGCCACAGUGGGACUGAGACACGGCCCAAACUCCUACGGGAGGCAGCAGUAGGGAAUCUUCCGCAAUGGACGCAAGUCUGACGGAGCAACGCCGCGUGAGUGAAGAAGGUUUUCGGAUCGUAAAACUCUGUUGUUAGAGAAGAACAAGUGCUAGAGUAACUGUUAGCGCCUUGACGGUAUCUAACCAGAAAGCCACGGCUAACUACGUG